rnacentral:rRNA from 1 species
UACGUAGGGACCAAGCGUUGUUCGGAUUUACUGGGCGUAAAGGGCGCGUAGGCGGCAUGACAAGUCAAUUGUGAAAUCUCCGGGCUUAACUCGGAACGGUCAAGUGAUACUGUCGCGCUAGAGUGCGGAAGGGGCAAUCAGAAUUCUUGGUGUAGCGGUGAAAUGCGUAGAUAUCAAGAGGAAUACCUGAGGUGAAGACGGGUUGCUAGGCCGACACUGACGCUGAAGCGCGAAAGCUGGGGGAGCAAACGGG